rnacentral:rRNA from 1 species
CUACGGGUGGCAGCAGUGGGGAAUAUUGGACAAUGGGCGAAAGCCUGAUCCAGCCAUGUCGCGUGUGUGAAGAAGGCCUUCGGGUUGUAAAGCACUUUCAGUGGGGAAGAAAGCCUUGGGGCUAAUACCCUCGAGGAAGGACAUCACCCACAGAAGAAGCACCGGCUAACUCCGUGCCAGCAGCCGCGGUAAUACGGAGGGUGCGAGCGUUAAUCGGAAUUACUGGGCGUAAAGCGCGCGUAGGUGGUCUGAUAAGCCGGUUGUGAAAGCCCCGGGCUCAACCUGGGAACGGCAUCCGGAACUGUCAGGCUAGAGUGCAGGAGAGGAAGGUAGAAUUCCCGGUGUAGCAGUGAAAUGCGUAGAGAUCGGGAGGAAUACCAGUGGCGAAGGCGGCCUUCUGGACUGACACUGACGCUGAGGUGCGAAAGCGUGGGUAGCAAACAGGAUUAGAUACCCUGGUAGUC